rnacentral:rRNA from 1 species
AUUGAACGCUGGCGGCAGGCCUAACACAUGCAAGUCGAGCGAGCGGCGGACGGGUGAGUAAUGUAUGGGGACUGCCCGAUAGAGGGGGAUAACUACUGGAAACGGUAGCUAAUACCGCAUACUAUCGGAUAACCCAUAUGGGAUUAGCUAGUAGGUAAGGUAAUGGCUCACCUAGGCGCCGAUCCCUAGCUGGUCUGAGAGGAUGAUCAGCCACACUGGGACUGAGACACGGCCCAGACUCCUACGGAGGCAGCAGUGGGGAAUAUUGCACAAUGGGCGCAAGCCUGAUGCAGCCAUGCCGCGUGUAUGAUGAAGGCCUUCGGGUUGUAAAGUACUUUUUGCAGAGAAGCGUUAUCUGCAGAAUAAGCACCGGCUAACUACGUGCCAGCCGCCGCGGUAAUAC